AUUAAACGCUGGCGGCAUGCCUUACACAUGCAAGUCGAACGGCAGCACGGGGUGGUAACACUCUGGUGGCGAGUGGCGGACGGGUGAGUAAAGCAUCGGAACGUGCCCUGGAAUGGGGGAUAACGUAGCGAAAGUUACGCUAAUACCGCAUAUUCUGUGAGCAGGAAAGCAGGGGAUCGCAAGACCUUGCGUUCGAGGAGCGGCCGAUAUCGGAUUAGCUAGUUGGUGGGUAAAGGCCUACCAAGGCGACGAUCCGUAGCGGGUCUGAGAGGAUGAUCCGCCACACUGGGACUGAGACACGGCCCAGACUCCUACGGGAGGCAGCAGUGGGGAAUUUUGGACAAUGGGCGCAAGCCUGAUCCAGCCAUGCCGCGUGAGUGAAGAAGGCCUCGGUUGUAAG
rnacentral:rRNA from 1 species